GGGGCGCAGCAGGCGCGAAACCUUUACACUGCACGCCAGUGCGAUAAGGGGAUCCCAAGUGCACAGGCAUAGAGCCUGUGCUUUUCUGAACCGUAGGGAGGUUCAGGAACAAGAGCUGGGCAAGACCGGUGCCAGCCGCCGCGGUAAUACCGGCAGCUCGAGUGAUGGCCGAUCUUAUUGGGCCUAAAGCGUCCGUAGCUGGCCUUGCAAGUCCGUCGGGAAAUCCACCCGCUCAACGGGUGGGCGUCCGGCGGAAACUGUGAGGCUUGGGACCGGGAGGCUUGAAGGGUACGUCCGGGGUAGGAGUGAAAUCCUGUAAUCCUGGACGGACCGCCGAUGGGGAAACCACUUCAAGAGAACGGAUCCGACAGUGAGGGACGAAAGCUAGGGUCUCGAACCGGAUUAGAUACCCCCGUAGUCC
rnacentral:rRNA from 1 species